UGAAUACGAGACGCUAAGGCGUCGAAGUAGUGUAUGUCAUACUUCCAAGAAAAGCUUGCACUGUCAUAGAUAAAAAACGCCUGUACCAUAACCGACACAGGUGGGUAGGUAGAGUAUACUAAGGGGCGCGAGAUAACUCUCUCUAAGGAACUCGGCAAAAUAACUCCGUAACUUCGGGAGAAGGAGUGCCUUAUUCGUAAGGUUGCAAUAACAAGAUCCAAGCAACUGUUUAUCAAAAACACAGGUCUCCGCUAAGUCGUAAGACGAUGUAUGGGGGCUGACGCCUGCCCAGUGCCAGAAGGUUAAAGAAGUUGGUUAGCAAUUGCGAAGCUGAUAACUGAAGCCCUGGUGAACGGCGGCCGUAACAAUAACGGUCCUAAGGUAGCGAAAUUCCUUGUCGGGUAAGUUCCGACCCGCACGAAAGGCGUAAUGAUUUGGAUACUGUCUCGGAGAGGGGCUCGGUGAAAUAGACUUGUCUGUGAAGAUGCGGACUACCUGCACCAGGACAGAAAGACCCUAUGAAGCUUUACUGUAACUUGAAAUUGAAAUUGGACUUUAUUCGCGCAGUAUAGGUGGGAGGCGUUGAUUAUAAUCUUGUGGGAUUAUUGGACCAUCAGUGAGAUACCACUCUUGUAAUGUUAGAUUUCUAACUUUGAAUCAUUAUCUGGUCAAAGAACAGUUUCAGGCGGGCAGUUUGACUGGGGCGGUCGCCUCCUAAACGGUAACGGAGGCGUACAAAGGUUUCCUCUGAACGGUUAGAAAUCGUAUCUAGAGUGUAAAGGCAUAAGAAAGCUUGACUGUGAGACCUACAAGUCGAGCAGGGACGAAAGUCGGUCUUAGUGAUCUGACGGUACUGAGUGGAAAGGCCGUCACUCAACGGAUAAAAGUUACUCUAGGAUAACAGGCUGAUCUCCCCCAAGAGUUCACAUCGACGGGGAGGUUUGGCACCUCGAUGUCGGCUCAUCGCAUCCUGGGGCGGUAGUACGUCCCAAGGGUUGGGCUUUCGCCCAUGAAAGCGGUACGCGAGCUGGGUUCAGAACGUCGUGAGACAGUUCGGUCCAUAUCCGGUGUAGGCGUUAGAAUAUUGAGAGGAGCCUUCUUUAGUACGAGAGGACCGAGAAGGACAUACCUCUGGUGUACCAGUUAUCGUGCCAACGGUAAACGCUGGGUAGCUAUGUAUGGAGUGGAUAACCGCUGAAAGCAUCUAAGUUGGAAGCCCACCUCAAGAUAAG
rnacentral:rRNA from 1 species